GGGGAUAUAGCUUAGUGGUAUAGCAAUCGAUUGCAAAUCGAGAGGUCCCUGGUUCAAAUCCGGGUGUCCCUU
rnacentral:tRNA from 1 species